UUAUUUCUCACAGGGCUUCCAAAGCAGCUGAGUCUAGGACCUUAAGGAAUGUCACGCAAUAGUUGCUGAACUAACUGACACUGAAAGGAUCAGAAAAAGAUGACAAUCCAUAUUUGAAAUAAACACGUGGACUCUCUGAUAAAAAAAAACAUGUCAAAAAAAGGACGGAGCAAGGGCGAAAAGCCUGAGGCACUGAUUGUUGCCCUACAGGCUGCCAAUGAGGAACUCAGGACUAAGCUAACAGACAUUCAAAUUGAGCUGCAUCAGGAGAAAUCUAAGGUUGCUAAACUCGAAAGAGAAAAGACUCAAGAAACGAAGCGUAUCCGCGAAGUGGAGCAACGCAAGCAGACCGUGCAGAUCACAGAGCUAAAAGCCAAACUUCAUGAGGAGAAAAUGAAGGAGCUGCAGGCUGUGAGGGAGAACCUCAUCAAGCAGCACGAGCAGGAGAUGACGAGAAUGGUGAAAGUCCGUGACAGUGAAAUCCAGCGCCUGAAGUCGGCACUGUGUGCACUGCGGGAUGGGAGCAGUGAUAAAGUACGGACAGCGCUGACUAUUGAGGCUCGGGAAGAGGCCAGGAAACAGUUUGACUCUGAGCGCCUUAAGCUUCUGCAGGAAAUUACUGAACUGAAGUCUGCCAAAAAGCAGGUAGAUGAGGCCCUUAACAAUAUGAUCCAGGCCGACAAGAUCAAGGCAGGCGAUCUUCGGAGUGAGCAUCAGUCCCACCAAGAGGCCAUUUCCAAGAUCAAAUGGGAGAGUGAAAGGGAUAUUCGACGCCUGAUGGAUGAGAUCAAGGCUAAAGACAGGAUCAUAUUUUCAUUGGAGAAAGAACUGGAGACACAGACAGGCUAUGUGCAGAAGCUGCAACUGCAAAAGGAAGCUCUGGAUGAACAGCUCUUUUUGGUGAAGGAGGCAGAGUGCAACAUGAGCAGUCCCAAGAGAGAGAUCCCAGGAAGAGCUGGCGAUGGUUCAGAGCACUGCAGCAGCCCUGACUUGCGCAGAAACCAGAAGAGGAUAGCAGAGCUGAAUGCCACCAUUCGGAAGCUGGAAGACCGGAACACGUUGCUUGUUGAUGAGCGAAAUGAACUGUUGAAGCGUGUCCGAGAAGCUGAGAAACAAUGUAAACCUCUUCUGGAAAAGAACAAGUGCCUCACGAAGAGAAAUGAUGAACUUAUGCAGUCUUUGCAGCGCAUGGAAGAUAAACUCAAAGCAGUCACUAAAGAAAAUAUAGAAAUGAGAGAAAAAAUAACAUCCCAUCCUCCUCUGAAGAAAUUAAGAUCUCUCAAUGACCUGGAUCAGGCUAAUGAGGAGCAAGAAACUGAAUUUUUAAAGCUUCAGGUUAUAGAACAGCAGAACAUAAUUGAUGAGUUAACAAGGGACAGGGAGAAACUUAUUCGUCGGAGAAAGCAUAAAAGGAGCUCAAAACCAAUCAAGAGACAUGUGGUGGAUACAGUUUUUGGGUAUGAUGAUGAUUCUAUGGAUUCUGAAACAUCCUCUGUGGCCUCAUAUAGAACAGACAGGACACCAGCAACCCCAGAUGAUGAUCUGGAUGAGGGUUUAGCAGCAGAAGAGUCAGAGCUGCGGUUUCGACAGCUGACAAAGGAGUACCAGGCCCUGCAGAGAGCGUAUGCACUGCUGCAGGAACAGACAGGAGGGGUCAUAGAUGCUGAAAGAGAAGCCAGGGCUCAGGAGCAGCUUCAAGCUGAGGUCCAGAGGUAUAAAGCCAAAAUAGAAGAUUUGGAGAAAACUUUGGCUCAGAAAGGGCAGGACUCACACUGGGUGGAAGACAAGCAGCUUUUCAUUAAGAGGAACCAAGAGCUUUUAGACAAGAUAGAGAAAACGGAAGCAGAAAACAACCGUCUGCACCAGGAGCUGCAGGAUGCGCGAGACCAGAAUGAGCUGCUGGAGUUCCGCAACCUUGAGCUGGAGGAAAGAGAGAGACGGUCCCCACCAUUUAAUCUCCAAAUUCACCCAUUCUCAGAUGGUGUGAGUGCUCUACAGAUCUACUGCAUGAAGGAAGGGGUUAAGGAUGUCAGCAUCCCAGACCUUAUAAAGCAGUUAGACAUCCUAGGUGAUAAUGGGAAUUUAAGGAAUGAAGAACAAGUGGCCAUAAUUCAGGCUUCCACGGUAUUGUCCUUGGCAGAAAAGUGGAUCCAGCAGAUUGAGGGAGCUGAAGCUGCUCUGCAUCAGAAGAUGAUGGAACUGGAAAGUGAUAUGGAGCAAUUUUGCAAAAUAAAAGGUUAUUUGGAGGAAGAAUUAGACUACAGAAAGCAAGCUCUUGACCAAGCGUACAUGAGGAUCCAGGAGCUUGAAGCCACCUUGUACAAUGCUUUGCAGCAAGAAACAGUGAUAAAGUUUGGGGAACUACUCACUGAAAAACAGCAGGAAGAGCUGAGGACAGCAGUAGAAAAGCUAAGACGUCAGAUGCUGAGGAAAAGCAGAGAGUAUGACUGCCAGAUUCUUCAGGAGAGGAUGGAGCUGCUCCAGCAGGCUCAUCAGAGGAUCCGAGAUUUAGAAGAUAAAACUGACAUCCAAAAGAGACAAAUUAAGGAUCUGGAGGAAAAGUUUCUAUUUCUGUUCUUGUUCUUCUCUCUUGCCUUUAUUCUUUGGCCUUGAUGUCAAUGUGCCUCUUGGAAAGAGGAUCUGCACUGCUGUGAACUCCCUUGAACUGUAAAGACAGCUGCAGCAGGCCCAGCAUCACAGCACGCAUGAUACCUGUAGAGUGUUUUACCAAGGCCAGUCACUCCACAGGUGCAAAGCAUCAAGUCUUGUAGCAGUUCCUCAAAAACAAGAGUGCCCGACCAUGCAGAUAAGUCCUUAUAAAGGCAAAUGCUUCCACCCCUCGAUGAAGAGAAUAUUGUUUACACCUAUUUUCAAAAGUAUAAAAAUGAACAGCCUGUAGUCAAGACUGCAACCAUCUUGUAUUUUAAAGCCAUCACUCAAAAUUUGUUACCUGACAAUUCCUGUCUAAAACUAUUAUAUAUGCUGCAUCUAAUGAAAUCCUGUAUGUUGAAAUUACAAAAGGGGAAGAAAAAUAAACAGACAACCUACAUCACCUAGGAAGAACGUAAAGGGAAGGAACCACUUUCAGCUGAUCAAGUCAGUGUGUCUUGGGCAUGGAACCAAAGUUACAAUAGAAAAAUCUAUUCCUGCUGUGCAGGGCAAUCAUUUAAAUGUCAUCUUGUCAUCUGACAAAUGGAUCAAAAAUUAGCAGAUCAGAGUAGGAGAAACUCAAGAGAUGCUGGCAACAAAGUGCUCAAUUUGAAGUGUGUGGCUUUCUUGCUGCAGGGACUCCUGCUCUCCCUCUUUGGUUUUAACCUCAGGAACAAAUGACAGCUGCAUUGUGGAAGAAAAAAAGGGAAAAAAAACCAGUCUGUGUUAUUGGAGGAUGGGCAGGACAGGUCACCAUGCUUUAUGCUUGAGAUUGUUACACAGCACCACCUGCCUUGGCCAAGGAAUGGAAGAAGAGGGUGAAUGGCAUAAGGAAGGUUUCCAGUGGAGUUGAAGCCAUAUCUCUCUUCACCAUCCCUCCAUGAAGAACAGCCUGUCUAUUAUCAGAUACUUUUCAUAUUCUUUAAAGACUGCCAUUGAGAUAAUAAUGACUGUACUUGGUUUUACUAUAAAGUAACCACUGAGGAUCACUGAAUUGGACCUACAGAGUAGCUUCUGAGAAAGAGAAGAAAUGUUGGAGGACAGGGCAGGGAGGAAUGCUAAUCCCCUAUCCAUGUGACAUGAUUGACAAAGCAUCAGCUUCCAACUGUUUUGUCCCAACUUGGAAAAAAUGUUUUGGUUCAGCUUGUUAUCUGACUUUGUUAUUUGGCUUCCUGAUCAAUGAUACACAGACCAAAAAUGGGGAAAAACAUUGUGAACACAACCUUAUUGCAAAUAAGAAAUAUUGCUAGUCUGUUUAGAUUUUCCACUGGUAAGAGUAACUAAAAUAGUUUUCAUUUGAAAGCAUUACUUACCUCUGUAAUCACGAAGCCUGGAACCCAGCUGUGUUGCCUCCCUGAGGUCAUAGGUCCAUGCACCCAGUACUUUGUCAGAAAUGCAGGUCCAUGAACCCUAGUACUCUUUCAGGAGAGUUUUCCUGUUACUAUACGACAUGAAAGAAGCACGAUGUGAGUCACUGCUAUUGCAAAGGUAAAAAAGAGGAAGUUUUAUUUCUGACUCUUAACAUUUGUACUUUCCUAAAGGUGACAGUGGAUUGGAAGGUGAGCAUACCACCUCUCCAACAAACUACUAGUACGUUAAACUUUCUCUGCCUCCACGAAGGAAUGUAAAACAAUAGGUUGUUUACAGAAAGUUGUGUGAGAAAGUUUUCUACAAGAAUGUAAACUCAGAAGGUUUUAGAAAAUCUUAAAAAUCAGGGUGACAUACUCCCUGAGAAGCAUAAUACCCGCAGCAAUCACUGUGAGGGUCCUGUGCUGAGGGAAGCAGUGCAGCCAGCUGCACCCACCCUCCCUUUCUCACUAAUGAGCUUGACAGCACACUUCUCAGUGCCUCUGGUUUCAUUUCCUGGGGAAUGGAGUCCUGCCUGUUCAGACUUUGUAUUCCUGUGGCAAGGCUCCGUCUUCUGUGAUGGAGCCUUAAUUUUAACUGGAAGAAAUGGAUUUCUGUACUAGAAAUUAGAAAAUUAAGGGCCAGAGUGCAGCUUGUGCAUUACUUACACUUUCAAAGCAGGGAUCACAUGUACCAACAUCUUACACACAUCAGAAGCUUUUAAAGAGCUUUUGAAGAGUUUUUUGAACAGCUUCUCCUUCAUAUGCGUGCAGGUAUUGCAUUCCCAAGGGUUCAGGGUGAAAUGGGGGCUGGUAGUCUGACUGCAGCAGACCUGGGUCUGCAAACUUUUCAAAGAUUGUUCUUCCCUCCAGGGAGCUGGGCGACCGCUGCUUUACUGUCCUUGCAGUGUAACACAUGCCAUGCCUAAAACACACAUGCUGAUGUGAGUUAAUACAAACUUUCUUCUAUCAGCUAGAUCAAAAUGAGUUUCAUGUCUGUGUGUGUAUAUAUAUAUAUAUAUAUAUAUAUAUAUAUAUAUACAUGUAUCUAUAUGUAUAUGUACAUAUAUAUACAUAUAUAUGCAUAUACUUAGCAAUUCCCUAUUGUAUAUAGAAAUUAUUGCUGUAGCUUACGAAAGUUACUUCAAUCUAGGCAUGGGGAACUGAAUUAAGAUUAUUUAGCUGCCACAGCUGGUACAUUGUUCCAGGUUUAGUUUCACAUCUUAUGGACAGCUAAUUUUUUAUUCUUUUUUUUCUGGACCCUUCGCUCUCCUUGGACUGUUAAUCCUGGGCUUUCUGCGGUUCCUGAUGUUCAUUGAAGGAAAGGAUUGAGAAUCCUGCCUCAGAUUAGUCACUGCAGCCAACCUCCCCUCCCCAAAACCAACAAGAAAAAUAAAGAUCAAUUUACUGCAGCCUUUGAGGACAGCAAAUACAGCCCUGGAUCCCUCCUGUGCAUCCAUUCAAGGCUGUUCAGGAGUAGCUGCACUCCAGGCUAUCCAUCCCGCCAAAGCAGGAGGUGAGCCUGGCCUGGGCAGUCCUCAUGGCAAGUCAAAUUGUGGUCAAGCUCAUUUGACUUGCUUUUUUUUCCCUCAAUGACCAGGUUAUGAGACUUUGAAGACUAUUUUUUUAAUGUAAGCACUUCAGAUGAGGGCCUGGUUAAGUGAGAUGUAUUUAGGCAAUUGGGGUUGCAGUAAGGAAAUGGUACUUGCAGUGUUACCAGCCUGGCUCACAGGUCCAUCCUCUCUUACUGAUGCGCCUGGAGGACAGUGGGGAAUUUUUUUUAGGUGUUGUUCAUCUUCCAACCGCCUACCGUUAUCUCAGUGGGAAGUAUCCUUGAAACGCAAAGCUUUCAGUUCUGUGGCAUCCCAUGAGGACUGCCCAGGCCAGGCUCUCCUGACGUGAGCAGGGCUCAGAGAACAAACUGCUGGUGAUCCAAAGGGUUUUCUCUUCCCCUGCCCUCUCUCACAUCAGCACCUCUGUGGUUUUAUAUAUACUUUUUGUUCCAGAUUUUUUUGGUGUCUAUUCCAGAACAAAACUGUCAAUUACUUGGCAGAAUGACCCUUUGAUAAACACUGGACAUGUACCUGUACUAUAUGUAUUAACGUGUAGGAGAGAAUCCUUAUUGUAUGUAAAGUUUUAUGAAUGGUUAUUUUUUAAUUUAUGUAUUUAAUAUAGGAUUCAAUGACCUCUGGUGUUUUAGUUUGUAUAAAAAAUAAAAGAGCAGCAUUUUUAAAAAAAUAAA